AUUUAUUAUUUUUUAAGAAUGUGUCAAGUUAAUUAUAGACAACUAUUAUUGGACAGAGUAUAGUAACUUAUAAUUCAGGAAUAGUUUUUUUUUAAAUCAUAUAGACUCUCUUUAUUAAUUUCUUUUUAUUAUCAAUAUUGAUGGAGUAGACUUGUUAUUAAAAUAAAUAAAUUAAGUUACUAAGACGUGCAUUUCUUAAAGCGCGUGUCAGAAAGCUUUAUAUAGACGCUACGGGGAGGCGCUUUAGAACUUCAUUCUCAAAUCUACGCCGGCGCUGAGUACGCCACCGGUACGCUACCGGUGACGAAUCAAAACACUAAACCCUAGAUUAAUUUUCUCCAUCCGUGUUCUGUGACAAUGUCAGAUUUUCUUUUUAAGAAAAAAUCAAGAACUUAUUUUGUUUUUGAAGUUACACCUGUAUUCUUAAUACAUAGUUAAAGGAAAUCAACGAAAUUGUUGUUCUCAAGAAUAUAUUAGAUAUUACAAAUAUCAAGAAAUUCAAGAAAUCUUUUCUUUUUCCAAUAAAUUCUGUUGUUAUAUUUGUAGUGGGUGUUAAAGAUGUUCAUGAAUUUGUUGUUACUUCUUUUAGGGAGAUGGGGGACAUUAAGCAAAUGCCUGAAUUAAUCAUGUAUGAUUUCACAAGGGUUGUUGGGGAGUUAGUUUUCACAAGGGUUGUUGAGGAAUUGAACGGAAAGAUGUGGAGUUGUUGGGGAGUUAGUUCUUGAUGUUGACAUAAUCUUCUCUAUUGUAUUCAUGCUGCUGCACACAAUUAUUAUGAUCAUAACUUGGAAUAGUUGUUGUAGUCUAUAGGAUUGCAUGCAUUACUCAAGUGAUAGGCUGUUUGGCGUUUGUGUUCUUUAGUGUCUUUCAACAUAAUUUUGUGGUUUUACUUAUAUGGGGAAACUGCUAUGUUGUCUGGCCAUUUUAACUGUAGUUUCGUUUGCGCUACAUCAAAAUACAGCCAUUAAGUUUAAUUGCAUGCUUUCCCAACAAGUUUUGGCUUUAAAUGAGAGGCUCUGAGCUACAUUGCGGAGGUUUCUUUGUUGGAAAUUGUUACUAAAACUAACGGUAAGCCAAAUGGAUAUUGUAAGUUUUUCACGUAAAGUUCUUUUGAGUUUUAGUUUGUAGCAUCCAUGAGGAUAUGUGUAAAAUUACUAAAUUGGAAUUGAUGAUUGCCGGCAAAAUGUUGGUACACCAGGUAAUUCUGUAUAACCCUAAUUUUGUAUAAGCCUACCUGAUACAAUACUGUUUGCUAGUAAGGUUAUUUCUUGGGAUUUUUUCUUUGUAGUCAUUGUUCGUAAUGUAUUUUACAAUUAGCCAGUUCGAAGGUUGCGAAUGCACUCCAAGUACUUCUAGUUUUCUCACAAUUCAAACAAAUAAAAUAUAUUGAUUUACUUACUUUACUUCUAAAUUUGUACUUUGUUCUGAUUGAUCUUUUGGUUUGCAUAUAUAAUCUGGAAGCCCAAUGAGGGUUUUGCAUUCUCUGAAAGAAUCUCUGCUAAGAAUCUCCCUUGUGCGUCCCAGUGUCUCCUUCAAAAUUGUGUCUGUCUCUGUUAUACUAGCUAACUUAAGGAUAUAUCCUAUCUGGGGUCUAUCUCUGUUAUACUAGCUAACUUAAGGAUAUAUCCUAUCUGGGGUCUAUCUCUGUUAUACUAGCUAACUUAAGGAUGUAUCCUAUUUGGUUUCUUAGAUUAUGUAAGAUUGUGUGCAGUGAGGAUGACCUACUUUGCACACGUGCUUCUCCUUCUCUUCUCCUUUGCCGCUAUUGUCCAGUGGGAUUUGCAUUCCUCUGAGUUCCCUUAACAAAUUGAAUUCAACAGGUGGUUUAAUCAAGCUCUCAAGAUACGUCUCAGGUCUUGAUGUUUACAUAGUGAAUGUAUACAGGCCCAAAUCGAUGGAUAAGAGAUGUGAUAGACGAUGUUCACAGUGUUCAAAAGCGCAUAUGGGUGGUAGCAUGCGUCUUGGAUCAAGAACAACGUAUUUUCAAGUCAAAGAUUCUAAAUUUGGUAGUUGCUACUAAGCUCAAGGGAGGCCGCCGAAUGGAUAUCAAAAGGUUUUGAAGGCGACAUUUGAAGGACGACAAGUGUUUGUACUGAUGAUUGUAGACAAAAUUUUGGUAUAACAGAUAACUCUGUGCAAGACUACCUGCGAUUUUUGAAAUCUCAUGUUGGUUAGAGUCCCACAUUGUUUUUAGACUGAAAAUCUAGAAACUCUGCACACCCCCUUACAUCUAGUGUUUUACCUACAGAGGAUGAUUUCCUGGAUAACAAAUUCAGUUCUUCAGCUAGCUCCAGUUAUAAAUCAGACUGCCUGUCAGGUUCUGGAUGGGAGGAGUCUUAAACAAUUCUAGCUGGCCGACCAACUGAGGAUGCCUCAUCUAGGGAGUCUCUUGAACUUCAUAAGAUUCAAAUGUGAUGCAUGUGAGAAGGAAAGCAUUUAUGUGGAGCUGUUCUUUGCACAGAAGCCUGAUACGAUCAUCUUAUGGAUUCUCUAAACAGAUUGCUGAAAAAUAUGGUUCUGGCCUACCAUCUUUUAGUCGAGACUGUCUCCUCUGCCACCAUAUCCUGAGUAUGCUAUUGUUAAAUCUAACUCUGAGCAUGAAAUUAAUAUAUUUGGUUUGGUUAAAGGACUUGUUUCUGAUUCACAAGCUGUCAACAUCUGUCACACUUCUUGCGGUAACAUUCUUUAAUACUUGUCUUUGUCAUAUUAUACACUCAAGAACUCAAGUACAUGUAAGCCAUUUGCAAAUCAGUCAUAGAAGUGAAAGGUGUUGUAGUUAACAACUUAACAUACAUGCAUCGACAUUCUCAAACCUUUUACUACACUUUAUAGCUUAUUCUCUUCAAUAGUCAUAUUCCUCCCUCUGAAGGAUAUAUGCAUGUCUAAAUGUGGAAAACAACUCCUGACGAGCACUUCUUCUCAGGCUUCUUUUCCAUUCUGAGGUAUCAAUAACAGUUUAUAUCAGUUAUGUGCUGCAUCUUGUUGAAAGCAAGAAGGAUUUUUGAGGGUUUAAGCCUUUCAAGUGUCAUUUAUGGCGCAUUGUCUCUUAAGGUUCUAGUUCCUGCAUAGCACAACUCGUUCAUUAUUUCCCGCGUUAGGAUCCAUACAUUAUCAUUUAUCACAUAACAGUUUUUACAUUAUUAUCACCGCAUAAAUAUUCCCUGCAUGAUUAAUACUUUAAACCAAAUAAUGUCUCACUCUUUAUUAUUGCAAUUUUGUGAUAUUUCUUAAGAAAUGGGGAGUGACAUAGGGUGCUUUAUCUUUUGUUCCAUCACUUUGUGAUCGUCUAGUAGUGUACAUUCUUAUGUAGAAACUGAGGCCCUUGACAAAAUGAAUGUGAGUCCCUUUUUACAUAGUCAGUGAUUAUUAUCUUUUGUUUGAUUCUAGCAUUUAUCUUCGUUGAACAUUACACUCAUUGUCUUGUUCUGCAUCAUGCUGCAGAUGAGUGAAUUCGUUUUGAAGAACUGCUUGAGAAGACCAUGCCCGAAACUGGUUGCCAAUUAUUACACAACUAUACUGACCACAUUCAAAAAUGGGGUUAGAUCUGCAACAUUCAUUCUCAAGCUUCAAGGUCAUUUACCAGGUUAAAGUGGGAACUUAAAUCUGAUUCACAAGCAACCAACAUCUGUCUCAUUUCUUGCGGUAACAUUCUGCUGAAGCUAUCUGGUCGGAGCUUCCAUGGCAGUCAUCCCAUCAAUGUGAUCAAUCUUUCACCCCGAGUUGUUGUGAAGGUGUAUUCUCUGAUUUAAGGUACACAUAAGAAAACAGACCUGUCAACAAUGCACGGGUUCCAUGUGUUUUGGGUGUUAGUCUAACUGAUGUGGAUCUGGUAGAAUUUCUUCAACAGCUUAUUCAAAGAUGAGGACAAAUGUAUAGCUGUUUAUGCUUCAAAUCACUCUAUGAGAUCGUUGCUAUGUGGAAUCCAUUCAGUGCCAAGUUAAGAUAUAGACUCAGUUCAGGUGGAAGUUUAUAUUGCAAUCAUGCUGCCGGCGCAUCUUAACUGUCCUGCCGAUGCUCUGCUCAAGUAAUAGUACCGCUCAUAUCAAUUUCCCGCCAUUUUAUAUGCUCAAGUAAUACAACUGCUCUUCUCAUUAUCUUGGCUCGACAGGAAUGGCAUAAGCAUCUUUGAAAUUCUUGAGGCUAUAAAAAGCAGAACAGAGAUCUUCUUCAUGUAACUUUCUGUAUCGGAGAACUACAAUUGCAUGACCACAUGGUAUCUCAUAAUGUUGAAAUCUCCCGCAACUACACAUCCUUGUGUUCAAAUUUACUAUGUAUUUCUUUGCUCCUUCAGCUACGGCAUGCAGAUCAGCGGUUGAAGGUAUCACCUAUUUAAAAGUAAAUCUUUUUUUUUAUACAUGCCACUAAAUAUUUAGAAGUAAAAAUACAAUACAGUGAAACACAUACCCUCAUAUUGCACGACAACGCAAUACUUUUCUGUAGAUAAAUAUCAUAUU